CCACUGAGUUGAGUAUGUCAGCAAUAACUGCAACAAAACAUUUCGAGUAACUUUUGAACAGUCCUGCUCAUUGACUUGAAGGUCAGGACUGUUGACUUGGCCUUUCCAAAACAUUCACUUUAUUCUUCUUUAAGAGUCUUGACUGAAAACUAAAGGGGACAGAGCGUUUGCUGUCAGGGCCCCGAGGCUCUGGAACAGCCUGCCCGAGGAAAUCAGCAUCCUCAGCUCCACCAUCACUGCUGCUAGCAUUUGGGGAUUCUCCUAUUUCUGGCAGCCAUUCAUCAUCACCACCACUACUAUUGACUAUUACUGAAAUACAGCCAGCGAUGUAUGUCCCAUUUAGUGUACAGAUGAGUAAUCGUAGUUUAACAAUUGUAUUACUCCUUAGUUGUUAGUAGAUCUUACCAAAUUUUAUCUACGUGCAGGGGUCUCCUAUAAUUGGAGGAGUGGCAAGAUUUACCUGAGCUGCUCAGCGUUUCUGAACCCCGUAGGCCAUCUUGGUUUUGACAAAUUUAAGUUGCACUUACAACAGCUUACCAGAGGGUGGCAGUGUGUGACAUGACACUAGUGUCCACUGUAGUGGCUGAUGUGCAACUAGACUAUCAGAACCUCUGCCCAUUCAAAUAAAAUGCUUUUGAAUAGAUGUCCACUGUUGAACCACUAUGCAUGAAAGGGGUUUUGAUUUUAAUAUGUAUUGGUCAAUAAUUAUCUACCUUUAUACUAUAAAGUUUCUUUGUAUCUGUUUUUGUAUCUCUGUGUCUGUAAAGCAUUUUGAAAGACUGUAGUGUUUGGAAGGUGCUGCAUAAAUGACCUGAUUAUUGCAGAUGUGUUUUAAUUUAAACCUCAUUCAGUUAUUAUGAUUCAAUUCAGCUAAAACAAUCAACAACAAACAAACAAAACUUUCACUGGAUGCGCUCUCCUCCACAGCUCCUCCUCCCACCGACUCCACUCUGGUCAGACUGCUCUGCCAUCUAGUGGUCAUCAGUCUACACUGCAUCUAUAUUGGCCAGAUGGUGUGAGCAUCCUAAUGUAAACUAUCAGACUCUUAAACUAAAUAAAAUUGCUCCAAGAUCCUGGUUUGUAUUUUCAGUUUCAGAUUCAACCUUGAAUAUGAAUAAUUAAAGGUGCAUCAAUCUUCAA